GAAUGUGAGGGUGAUCUGGCCGUGAUAUCUGUCACACCAUUGAUCGCCAGGGUUAAUUUGGCUGAUCUGGCUGACUAGGCGGGUGUCCCCUUCCUCCCUCACUGUUCCAUAUGCGUGCCUCCCAAAACUGUGUGCUCCCUCAAAGAGGACAACCUUCCCCAAGAGAGACUUACCAUUCAUUGGUCAAGGGUAUAUGCUAGCUGCGCUCCCCUACUAGAACCUCCAAACGUGCUCAAGGUCCAUUUGUAGGAAAAUGUAAGGUAGCUAAGCCUCCAAGACUGCAGACACAUCCAAGUGAGACACUACAUGGGGCAGUCUGCCAUUGU
rnacentral:snRNA from 1 species